UAUACAGUAAUUUUAAACUGGGAGAUGAAAUGCUAAUUUCUAGAAGUCCAUUUGGUUUUGAAGGGUCUCAUGUCAAAAAAACAAAAGUAAGUAAAAUAAGACCCAUCCUACUGUUUUAUAUACUAAAAUAGUAAGUUAAUUAAAUGAAAAUGAAGUACAUUUGGGCUUUCAUUUACCAAUCCUGGAAUGUUGAAAAGUUGCCUAAAAGACAUUUAGCAAGCAAGUGUAGCUAGCAAAAAAUCAUUUUAUGAUGGCAGGUUAAUACAAUUAUAAUUGAAUCAACAAUUUUUGAUACAUGUUGUAAAUCUCUGUAAAGUAAUACAGAAGGAAGAAAAACUUAUUUCCACUAAUAUUUUCUUUCAGGCAUUUGACAUUAUCACAGACUGACAUGGCAGCAUUAACAGGAGGAAAGGGAUUUCCCUUCUUGUUUCAACAUAUUCGUGAUGGCAUCAAUAUAAGACAAACUUGUAAUCUGAUUUUCAGCCUGUGUCGAUACAAUAAUCGACUUGCAGAACAUAUUGUAUCUAUGCUUUUCACAUCAAUAGCAAAGUUGACUCCUGAGGCAGCCAAUCCUUUCUUUAAGUUGUUGACUAUGCUAAUGGAGUUUGCU
rnacentral:sRNA from 1 species